rnacentral:rRNA from 1 species
CUCAGAGCGAACGCUGGCGGCAGGCCUAAACCAUGCAAGUUGAACGGCCAUAGCAAUAUGGCAGUAGCGCAAGGGUGAGUAAUGUAUGGGAACGUAUCUUUUGGUGGGGAAUAUUCUUUGGAAACGAAGAGCAAUACCGCAUAAGCCCUACGGGGGAAAGAUUUAUCGCCGAUCGAGCGGCCCAUAUUGGAUUAGCUAGUUGGUUGGGUAAUGGCCGACCAAGGCUGUGAUCCAUAGCUGGUCUGAGAGGACGAUCAGCCACACUGGGACUGAGACACGGCCCAGACUCCUACGGGAGGCAGCAGGUAGGAAUAUUGGACAAUGGGGGCAACCCUGAUCCAGCCCAUGCCGCGCGAGUGUUAAGGCCUUCGGGUUGUAAAGCUCUUUUGUAUGGGAAAAUGAUGAUGGUACCAUAAGAAUAAGCACCGGCUAACUUCGUGCCAGCAGCAGC